rnacentral:rRNA from 1 species
CGAGAAGCGAACCUGCGAAGGCAAGCGGAUCUCUUAAAGCCGUUCUCAGUUCGGACUGUAGGCUGCAACUCGCCUACACGAAGCUGGAAUCGCUAGUAAUCGCGGAUCAGCACGCCGCGGUGAAUACGUUCCCGGGCCUUGUACACACCGCCCGUCACACCAUGAGAGUCUGUAACACCCAAAGCCGGUGGGAUAACCUUUAUAGGAGUCAGCCGUCUAAGGUAGGACAGAUGAUUAGGGUGAAGUCGUAACAAGGUAUC